CCUACGGGAGGCAGCAGUGAGGAAUAUUGGACAAUGGGCGCAAGCCUGAUCCAGCCAUGCCGCGUGCAGGAUGACGGUCCUAUGGAUUGUAAACUGCUUUUGUACAGGAAGAAACACUCCCUCGUGAGGAGCUUGACGGUACUGUAAGAAUAAGGUCG
rnacentral:rRNA from 1 species